rnacentral:rRNA from 1 species
CGCGUGUACUGGUCCGGCCGGGCCUUUCCCUCUGUGGAACCCCAUGCCCUUCACUGGGUGUGGCGGGGACACAGGACUUUUACUGUGAAAAAAUUAGAGUGCUCCAGGCAGGCCUAUGCUCGAAUACAUUAGCAUGGAAUAAUAGAAUAGGACGUGUGGUUCUAUUUUGUUGGUUUCUAGGACCGCCGUAAUGAUUAAUAGGGACAGUCGGGGGCAUCAGUAUUCAAUUGUCAGAGGUGAAAUUCUUGGAUUUAUUGAAGACUAACUACUGCGAAAGCAUUUGCCAAGGAUGUUUUCAUUAAUCAGGAACGAAAGUUAGGGGAUCGAAGACGAUCAGAUACCGUCGUAGUCUUAACCAUAAACUAUGCCGACUAGGGAUCGGACGGUGUUAUAUUUUGACCCGUUCGGCACCUUACGAGAAAUCAAAGUGCUUGGGCUCCAGGGGGAGUAUGGUCGCAAGGCUGAAACUUAAAGAAAUUGACGGAAGGGCACCACCAGGGGUGGAGCCUGCGGCUUAAUUUGACUCAACACGGGGAAACUCACCAGGUCCAGACACAAUGAGGAUUGACAGAUUGAGAGCUCUUUCUUGAUUUUGUGGGUGGUGGUGCAUGGCCGUUCUUAGUUGGUGGAGUGAUUUGUCUGCUUAAUUGCGAUAACGAACGAGACCUUAACCUGCUAAAUAGCCCGUAUUGCUUUGGCAGUACGCUGGCUUCUUAGAGGGACUAUCGG